GAAGGCCAGGGGGUGGCUGGGCUCCUUCUUUCCCCCCUCCGGGGGAGGAAGGAGAGCCUUGUGGCCCCCAACUCUGCCUAGGCCAGAGUUAGAGGCAGCAUUUAGAGUGAAUGUUUGUGAGGGACGCGACUCACAGCACCUGAGGUAAGAGGAGAGAGGCAGGCUUUGCAGCCAAGCCCUCUUCCCCCUCCUUUCUGCAAUUAAACUGUGGAGGGGGGGGCUUUUCUUUCUCUCCACUGUAAAGUGGAGGAGAGGCUCAGCAUUGGAGCAGAGCCAAAGUGGACGGGCUAAAUAUAGCUCAGAGCCAGGGAAAGGAAUCCCAGGCAAAACUGGAGAUGGACUGAAGAGAGAGGCCCAGAGAAUGUCUCUGCCAUGAUUUAAAUGCAAGACAGAUGAAAACCUGGAGGAGGAGUCAACAUUCCAGGACGCGUAAGUUGAUAAGCUACACUACAGCAGCCUACGAAUCGAGGUAUGAGACUGAGAAAGAGAGGUCACACAGCAGACUGAGGAGAAAGGACUCAAAGCUAUCUUCUUGGACUUUGUGAGGAGAAAAACUGCAGCAAACAGCUUGAGGUGUGAAGUACUUCUAACCUUUCAUGUUAGAUUGUCAGUAGGAGAACACCGCAAGAAUCUGAAAUCAGCAAGAGCAUCUGAAACAAGAGAAUCCACUGAAAGACUGCAUAGAAGUUUUUGCAUAGGAAGUAGCUCUCCGUAUGAUAGGUCCAGAUGAUGGAAGAUUUAACAUGGUGCGCAGAUCUAGAGAUCAAUAUUGAUUCCUCUGAGGAAUAUGUACAAACUACAAGGAAGAAAACAAUGAACAAGCAAUUGGAUAAACUGAGUCAGAGAAAGUUUCAGGUAGACUAAAAAUGUAAGCAUCAGCAAUGUUGCGAAGAGCAUUCAGUGAAUAAAAUCCAACAGCAUGUGCUGAAUAGAACUCACACUGUGUGCAACUAUCUGUCCUGUGUACAAAAUACCAAAUGAUCACUAUGGAAAUAAUGUGAUGAAAUCAUACCUCAACAGUAAAACAAGGUGGAACAACACACCAGUUACUACUUUAACUUCUAAGUGAUCGAACGCAUGGCCUGAAACACAUCAGCAUUCUGUUCUAGCAGCAGGUUCUUGCCCAUGGCAAGCGGGUUGGAACUAGAUGAUCUUUAAGGUCCCUUUCAACCCAAACAUUC